rnacentral:rRNA from 1 species
UACGGAGGAUGCGAGCGUUAUCCGGAUUUAUUGGGUUUAAAGGGUGCGUAGGCGGAAAUGUAAGUCAGUGGUGAAAUCCUGCAGCUUAACUGUAGAAUAGCCGUUGAAACUGUGUUUCUUGAGUACAUUUGAGGUAGGCGGAAUGUGGUGUGUAGCGGUGAAAUGCAUAGAUAUACCACAGAACACCGAUUGCGAAGGCAGCUUACUAAACUGUCACUGACGCUGAUGCACGAAAGCGUGGGUAUCAAACAGGAUUA